CUCCUGAUUGAUAAACAUUUGAGUGAGUGGCGGACGGGUGAGUAACACGUGGGUAACCUGCCCUAAAGUGGGGGAUAACAUUUGGAAACAGAUGCUAAUACCGCAUAAAACCUAACACCGCAUGGUGUAGGGUUGAAAGAUGGUUUCGGCUAUCACUUUAGGAUGGACCCGCGGUGCAUUAGUUAGUUGGUGAGGUAAAGGCUCACCAAGACCGUGAUGCAUAGCCGACCUGAGAGGGUAAUCGGCCACACUGGGACUGAGACACGGCCCAGACUCCUACGGGAGGCAGCAGUAGGGAAUCUUCCACAAUGGACGAAAGUCUGAUGGAGCAACGCCGCGUGAGUGAAGAAGGUUUUCGGAUCGUAAAACUCUGUUGUUGGAGAAGAAUGUAUCUGAUAGUAACUGAUCAGGUAGUGACGGUAUCCA
rnacentral:rRNA from 1 species